UAUCUUUGCCGUGUCAAUGGUUUUCUACACCGGUUCAUGGAGUGUAGAAUGAAAAGGGAACCCAGUGAAAUUCUGGGACUGUACCCUCAGCUGUAAGUUCAGAUGUAAGGGUUUUGCCACGAGAAAGCCACUAUACAGAAUCGUAUGGGAAGGCAGCGAAGCCUUGAAUAAGUCAGAAGACCUGCCAUUACAAGCGUUCUUUC
rnacentral:ncRNA from 2 species